rnacentral:rRNA from 1 species
UACGAAGGGGGCUAGCGUUGCUCGGAAUCACUGGGCGUAAAGCGUACGUAGGCGGAUGAUUAAGUCAGGGGUGAAAUCCCGAGGCUCAACCUCGGAACUGCCUUUGAUACUGGUCAUCUUGAGUCCGGGAGAGGUGAGUGGAACUCCUAGUGUAGAGGUGAAAUUCGUAGAUAUUAGGAAGAACACCAGUGGCGAAGGCGGCUCCCUGGCCCGGAACUGACGCUGAGGUACGAAAGCGUGGGGAGCAAACAGG